CCCUUAGAUGUCCGGGGCUGCACGCGCGCUACACUGAAGGAAUCAGCGUGCUAAAACCAUUGUCGAAAGGCAUUGGUAAACCCAUUAAAAUCCUACGUGAUUGGGAUCGGGAAUUGCAAUUAUUUCCCUUGAACGAGGAAUUCCCAGUAAGUGUGGGUCAUAAGCUCGCGUUGAUUACGUCCCUGCCCUUUGUACACACCGCCCGUCGCUGCCCGGGACUGAGCCGUUUCGAGAAAAGCGGGGACUGCUGCUGUCGGGGCUUUCGGGCCUUGGCUUUGGUGGAAACCGCUUUAAUCGCAGUGGCUUGAACCGGGCAAAAGUCGUAACA
rnacentral:rRNA from 1 species